UCUAGCUAGAUUACUUUACAGCAUUUAUUUAGUGUUUCAUUCAUAUUUCUAGCAAAGGGGUUUGGGGUUAGGACCAUUUUCGUGUAGGGUAUAAUUUUUGCCAAAAGCUAAGCCUUUAGCCUUGCAAAAACAAGCUAUCUUUAGCAGAAUGUUUUUCUUCUGAAAAUAAGGACUUUCAUCUCAAUGUCUUGUUAGAUUGCAUUGAGGGCAUUCAUUUAAUCACGUUUUUAUACUUAGGAAAAAAAUGCUAUUUGGAAACAUUUUCGGAAGUCGUAUAAUUUUCAUCAAAAGGAAAAAAAAUGCUAUUUGGAAACAUUUUCGGAAGUCGUAUAAUUUUCAUCAAAAGGUAA